rnacentral:rRNA from 1 species
CUAUGUUUCUUCUUUUUUAACAAGGGGAAGGCCCAUCCGUGUGUAGUGUCGUUUCAUUCAACGUCAGUGGAGUACAAAAUGCAAACAUCACCCCGAAAAAAAACUAAAGUUACAAAGUAGUCCUGGAAAUUAACACAAAGCACCCUAACAAGUAAGACCAAAAAGCAAUCGGGUCCUUCUUCUCCACUCCGUUGCUCUGCCCGCCCCGCCGUCCAACCGACGCUCGCCUCGCCGCUGUGUCGUUCUGCUUGCUGCGCCGCCGCCCGGCCCUGCUCAGCCGCGCAACUCCGGCCCAGCCGCGCUCAGGAGCUGACUCGCUCCGACGCCGCGGGGAGGCACGCUAGGGAGGUCGGGGAUGGCCGGUGCUCGACCGGUGAAGCGCCCGGCUGCUCUAGCGGCGGAGCUCGCGAGGCAGAGAGGAGGAGCUCGGGGUGUGGACGGGAUCGGGGGCGCGACCGGAGGAUCUCGAGUGCGCAUGGCCGGCCGGUGAGGACGAGCUCGCGAGGGGUGGAGCUUCACGUGGCGCUGGCGAGGUGGCGGACGGAUGGGCAGAAGGGCGCUGGGCGUGGCGGCGGACAGACGGCCUCGCGGGCGCUGGGCGUGGCGGCGGACGGACGGCCUCGCGGGAGCUGGGCACGGCAUGCUGCUGCUCGGGGAUGGGCGGGCGCCGGACGGGGGCGCCGGACGGGCGGGCGGAGUUGGCCGGCGGCGUGUGGUUGCUUAGGGGAGAUGGAGGGAUGAGGGCGCUGGCUGGAGGUGUGCUAGUGCUCUGGGAGAUGGAGAGAUGAGGCAGCACGGGGGAGAAGAUGGGAAUCGUGGGUGGGGCAGGUACGGGGGUGGCCUCGUGGGUGG